rnacentral:lncRNA from 1 species
CAUAGCUCAGGUAAUCACCUUCUACUUUUAGCUCCAUCAUACCAGCACCUCAUUCUAUCCCUUUUUCCCAACUCUAGCAUGACCUUCACAUACUCAAUUUCAUCACACCAAACCCUUCUUCUAGCUCCAUCACCUCUUCUUCCCAACUCCAUCAUCCUCUUCUCCUAUUCAUCACAUCAUCCCUUAGGCCAUCCUUGCCCACCCCCAACUAACUCCUCUUACUCGCC